AUAAAAGUUAUUGUAACUCAGGCAUAAAAUGUCCGAUCUUGCCCAAACUUCACAUGUUUGAUAAGAGUCCUGGCCUGAACACAUCUGAAGGCCAAUAUUCCAUUGGGUGUGGCAAAAUGCCUCGAUAGCGCCACCUAUACAUUUUCAACGGAGUGCGCCUCGAGCUACGUUUCACGUACAUGUAGAAAAAUUGGUACACACAUAUAACACACCAAUACCUACAAAAAAGUCUCUUGGUACGAAAUUCGAAUCCCAACAGGAAGUCAGUUAUUUUGAAUUUUCUCUGCAAAAUUUGUGUCGUUUUUGCCAUUUUCAGUGGUUGUACUUUAACGAACUCCUCCUAGAGAUUUAUUCAGAUCAACACCAAACUUUGUCAGUGUAAUCUAAAGGCCUUUGCAAUGUUAAAUUGCGAAGAUCUUGAGGUUUCGUUUAAGGGCGUGUCUGUGGCGGCCUUACAAAUUUUGAUGUUUCGCCAUG
ensembl:lncRNA